rnacentral:rRNA from 1 species
GACGAACGCUGGCGGCGUGCUUAACACAUGCCAGUCGAACGGAAAGGCCUCUUUCGGGGGGUACUCGAGUGGCGAACGGGUGAGUAACACGUGAGUAACCUGCCCUUGACUUUGGGAUAACUUCAGGAAACUGGGGCUAAUACCGGAUAGGAGCUCCUGCUGCAUGGUGGGGGUUGGAAAGUUUCGGCGGUUGGGGAUGGACUCGCGGCUUAUCAGCUUGUUGGUGGGGUAGUGGCUUACCAAGGCUUUGACGGGUAGCCGGCCUGAGAGGGUGACCGGCCACAUUGGGACUGAGAUACGGCCCAGACUCCUAAGGGAGGCAGCAGUGGGGAAUAUUGCACAAUGGGUGGAAGCCUGAUGCAGCAACGCCGUGUGCGGGAUGACGGCCUUCGGGUUGUAAACCGCUUUCGCUCAUGACGAAGCUUUGUGUGACGGUAGUGGGUAAAGAAGCACCGGCUAACUACGUG